GAUGAACGCUGGCGGCGUGCCUAAUACAUGCAAGUCGAGCGAACGGACGAGAAGCUUGCUUCUCUGAUGUUAGCGGCGGACGGGUGAGUAACACGUGGAUAACCUACCUAUAAGACUGGGAUAACUUCGGGAAACCGGAGCUAAUACCGGAUAAUAUUUUGAACCGCAUGGUUCAAAAGUGAAAGACGGUCUUGCUGUCACUUAUAGAUGGAUCCGCGCUGCAUUAGCUAGUUGGUAAGGUAACGGCUUACCAAGGCAACGAUGCAUAGCCGGCCUGAGAGGGUGAUCGGCCACACUGGAACUGAGACACGGUCCAGACUCCUACGGGAGGCAGCAGUAGGGAAUCUUGCGCAAUGGGCGAAAGCCUGACGGAGCAACGCCGCGUGAGUGAUGAAGGUCUUCGGAUCGUAAAACUCUGUUAUUAGGGAAGAACAUAUGUGUAAGUAACUGUGCACAUCUUGACGGUACCUAAUCAGAAAGCCACGGCUAACUACGUG
rnacentral:rRNA from 1 species